ACACUGACGUCGCGACGCAUAUCAAUAAGCGGAGGAAAAGAAACUAACUAGGAUUCCCUUAGUAACGGCGAGUGAAGCGGGAAGAGCUCAAAUUUGAAAUCUUCAAGGUUCUACCUUGACGAAUUGUAGUUUAAAGAAGUGUUUUCUGUUAGAUGAGUAGCAAAAGUUCCUUGGAAUAGGGACAUCAUAGAGGGUGAGAAUCCCGUAUUUGGUUAUUCAUUCUAGCUUUGUGAUACACUUUCAAAGAGUCGGAUUGUUUGGGAAUGCAGUCCAAAAUGGGUGGUAAAUUUCAUCUAAAGCUAAAUAUUGGCGAGAGACCGAUAGCGAACAAGUACCGUGAGGGAAAGAUGAAAAGAACUUUGAAAAGAGAGUUAAACAGUACGUGAAAUUGUCAAAAGGGAAGCGUUUGACACCAGUGUUGUUUUCCUCGAAAAUCAAUUAAGAAUGAGUUGAUUUUGUGUUGUAUUGACCUUAUCAGCUUUCUUCACUCUUUUCGAGUCUUUUUUAAUGCACUUUUCGGUUAACAAGUCAACAUCAAUUUCUUUUGUUGUAAAAGAGUCAUUCGGAAGGUGGCUUUCUCUUCGGAGAAAGUGUUUCAUAGCCCUAUACUUCUACAAUCGGAGAGAUUGAGGUCUGCAGCGUAGAUCCUUCGGGGUUAGAUACACUUGUGCUAAGUUAUAGCUUUUCAUAGACAACUUGUUGACUAUGUUUAGUCAUGUCGCUUACUCGCUUAGUGCUAUUUUACCUACGCUUAGGAUGUUGAGUCGUAGAGCACGCAG
rnacentral:rRNA from 1 species